GGAUGUGAGGGCCAUUUGGUUGCAACAUCUGUCACCCCAUUGAUUGCCAGGGUUGAUUCAGCUGAUUUGACUGGCUAGGCAAGUGUACCCUUCUUCCCUCGCCGCUCCAUGUGCAUCCCUCCCGAGGCUGCAUGCUUGGUUGAAGAGGACGACUGUCCCCGAUAAAGGAGGACUGGUCUUCGGUCAAGGGUAUACGAGUAGCUACACUACCUUGCUAGAACCUCCAAACAAGCUCUCAGGAGUGGAAUUUCUUGGUCAUAGAGGUGUUCUAUAUUUACUCUUUUGAGGAACUUCCAUACUGCUUUCCAGAGUGGUCAAACAACAGUAU
ensembl:misc_RNA 7SK 7SK RNA